rnacentral:ncRNA from 2 species
CUAGCAAGAUCCUGCUUCGGUCCGGCCCUUCCGGGGGCCGGUGAAUAGGGAAUGCGGUGCGGAGGAUCCCCUCCCAGACCGCGACUGCCCCCGCAACUGUAGGCGGAGAGCGACACCGGACCAUGUCACUGCGGCGCACCCGUGCCGUGGGAAGACCCGGUGAAGCCGUGACCCGCGAGUCAGGAGACCUGCCGAGGCCGAUCACCCUGU